rnacentral:rRNA from 1 species
UACAGAGGUCUCAAGCGUUGUUCGGAUUCAUUGGGCGUAAAGGGUGCGUAGGUGGCGCGAUAAGUCGGGUGUGAAAUCUCGGAGCUUAACUCCGAAAUUGCAUUCGAUACUGCCGUGCUCGAGGACUGGAGAGGAGACUGGAAUUCAUGGUGUAGCAGUGAAAUGCGUAGAGAUCAUGAGGAAGACCAGUGGCGAAGGCGGCCAACUGGUCCGGUACUGACGCUGAGGUGCGAAAGCGUGGGGAGCAAACAGG